UUCUGUGAGCGAGGAAGGGGGGAUCGCAAGACCUCUUGCUUUAGGAGCGGCCGAUGUCGGAUUAGCUAGUUGGUGAGGUAAAGGCUCACCAAGGCGACGAUCCGUAGCGGGUCUGAGAGGAUGAUCCGCCACACUGGGACUGAGACACGGCCCAGACUCCUACGGGAGGCAGCAGUGGGGAAUUUUGGACAAUGGGCGCAAGCCUGAUCCAGCCAUGCCGCGUGAGUGAAGAAGGCCUUCGGGUUGUAAAGCUCUUUCGGUGGGGAAGAAAUUGCUUCGGUUAAUACCUGGAGUAGAUGACGGUACCCGCAUAAGAAGCACCGGCUAACUACGUG
rnacentral:rRNA from 1 species